CCAUUGUGAUCUGAACAAGCUGUAAAUAUAUAAAACUCAUGCAGCUGUGCUACGAUUUUUAUGGCAGCAAAAUGUAACAUUCAAAGGGUAUUUCUGUGGGACAAUU
rnacentral:ncRNA from 2 species